CGUUCCUUGGUGGCGGCGGCGGCGGUGGCGCACACGUUUUUCGGCGUGCUUCACUACCAAUUACUUAAACACUCGUAGAAAACAAUCAUGUUCAGCCGACCCCGACCGUAACCUAAUCCCAUUUUUAUCUCCAAAGGUCAAGAUUCAAAAAUAAGAUGUGUCUUUCUAAAACAUUCAGUUAAAAGAUAUUCGACAACAUGAAAACUGUGCGCGGACUUGUUGUCAAAUAUUCAGUUAUGUUUAGAUUGAUGAUUUCAAUCGGUCUUUUAGAGUGCAUUGGUGGAGUCCGAAUCAACAGACUGCAAGUACCGGAAGUGACGCAAUUGGGCGACCCUGUCGUCCUUGAUUGCGAUUACACACUAGAGGAGUCUCUGGACGACGGAUUGGUCGUUAAGUGGUUUUUUAACGAGACUCCGACUCCGAUUUAUCAGUGGAUUCCCAACAAAAAACCGCAGGAAUUAGGUAUACUUAAGGGACGGCUCGACUUAGAAUACUCGGCGAGCACCGAUACGAAUAGUGUGCACCGCGCCUUGCAUAUCAUACAGCCCGGCCCGGAUCUGUCCGGAGAUUACACCUGUUUUGUUUCUACCUUCAGCAGUGAGGACAGGAAAACGAAAAGGAUGCUCGUUUUUGUGCCGGAAAAGCGUCUAGAGCUACGACAAGAACACGUCGGCGACGGCACAUUGCAGGUGGUGUGUUUAGCAGAGGGCGUAUUCCCUAAGCCCAAUAUGAGUCUGCAUGUGGGCAACAGCGAAGUGAACAGCUCAAAGGUGGCCGUGCAAGAAAGGGCCGGACUAUUCGACAUUCGAGCUACAGCAGAGGUGCCAUCUUUAAACGGCCCAGAGGAAUUCUCGUGUGAGCUUCGAAUCCCCCAAGCCAAUUACACCGUCAGAAAGGAAGCUAUCUAUUAUCCCGAACAAUGCAUGUGUUACAUCCACAACAUACUUGAGAGGGUGCAAAUUUGAAGACAAUGAGAUUCUGUAAAGUUUUAAUGCACUACCGCAACAUUUUCAGCGUAGGGGAAUGAUAUUAUGACGUGUCAAUCUUUUGGGACCAAUUUAAAAUGAUAAACUAAGUAGAAAGUUUUAAUGGGAUAUUUGAGCAAGUUUUAGAACUGUUGGAAAGCAAAAUAAUCUACGAGUAUAUAGCAAGCGGAAGCACUUUUCACUCAUCAUCAGCAAUUUUAGAGUCCAUUCUACUAAUUCUUCAUGUACUCUUCGUAC